AUGGGCACCAGGCUCCUCUGCUGGGUGACCCUCUGUCUCCUGGAGACAGGUCACACAGGAACUGGAGUCUCCCAGUCCCCCAUGCACAGGGUCACAGGGAGGGGCCAGGCUGUAGUUCUCAGCUGUGAUCCAAUUUCCAGCCAUGCUGUCCUUUAUUGGUACCGGCAAACCCUGGGACAAGGCCUGGAGUUUAUGAUGUUCUUCCAAAACAGUGAUGCAGUAGACCAGUCAGGGAUGCCUAAUGCCCGGUUCUCUGCUGAGAGGCCUGGGGGAUCGUCCUCCACUCUGAAGAUCGAGCGUGCAGAGCCGGGGGACUCGGCCGUGUACCUCUGUGCCAGCAGCUUAACCACAGAGACCCCGAGCAAGCUCAAUGCUCAAGGCAAGGACUGA